UCCCUGCUGGCUCAGAAGGUAAAGAACCUGCCUGCAGAGCAGGAGACCUGGGUUUGAUCCCUGAGUUGGGAA
rnacentral:tRNA from 1 species